rnacentral:rRNA from 1 species
GACGAACGCUGGCGGCGUGCUUAACACAUGCAAGUCGAACGGACAGGCCCUGCUUUUGUGGGGUGCUCGAUUGGCGAACGGGUGAGUAACACGUGAGUAACCUGCCCUUGACUUUGGGAUAACUUCAGGAAACUCGGGCUAAUACCGGAUAGGAGCUCCUGCUGCAUGUGGGGGGUUGGAAAGUUUCGGCGGUUCGGGAUAGACUGGCGGCUUCUCAGCUUGAUGGUGAGGUAGUGACUGACCAAGGCUUCGACGGCUAGCCGGCCUGGGAGGUGGAACAGGCACAUGGGGCCUGAGAUAGGCCCCAGAAUCGUACGUGAGGCAGUAGGGGGGAGUAUGGCAGAGUAGGCGCAAGCCUGAGACAGCAGCGCCGGGAGCGGGAUGCUGUGCUACGAGGGGUAAACAGAUGUGGACGGAAACGAGCAGAGAGUGACGGUACUUAGUAAGAAAGCAACGGCUAACUACGUG